GAUAUAGAGUUGUCUGUAUCAGAGAUUGCUGCACAGCUCCUCACAAACCCACCUCCAGGAAGUAUUGCUAGUUCAACCCCAUACACUGAACUUGUCAAGGAUCCUGAAAACGAAGCAAAGGUGGUUGAUCAUAUUAAAGGAU